rnacentral:rRNA from 1 species
AGAGUUUGAUCCUGGCUCAGGACGAACGCUGGCGGCGCGCCUAACACAUGCAAGUCGAACGAGCGAGAGAGAGCUUGCUUUCUCGAGCGAGUGGCGAACGGGUGAGUAACGCGUGAGGAACCUGCCUCAAAGAGGGGGACAACAGUUGGAAACGACUGCUAAUACCGCAUAAGCCCACGGUGCCGCAUGGCACAGAGGGAAAAGGAGCAAUCCGCUUUGAGAUGGCCUCGCGUCCGAUUAGCUAGUUGGUGAGGUAAUGGCCCACCAAGGCGACGAUCGGUAGCCGGACUGAGAGGUUGAACGGCCACAUUGGGACUGAGACACGGCCCAGACUCCUACGGGAGGCAGCAGUGGGGAAUAUUGCACAAUGGGGGAAACCCUGAUGCAGCGACGCCGCGUGGAGGAAGAAGGUCUUCGGAUUGUAAACUCCUGUUGUUGAGGAAGAUAAUGACGGUACUCAACAAGGAAGUGACGGCUAACUACGUGCCAGCAGCCGCGGUAAAACGUAGGUCACAAGCGUUGUCCGGAAUUACUGGGUGUAAAGGGAGCGCAGGCGGGAAGACAAGUUGGAAGUGAAAUCUAUGGGCUCAACCCAUAAACUGCUUUCAAAACUGUUUUUCUUGAGUAGUGCAGAGGUAGGCGGAAUUCCCGGUGUAGCGGUGGAAUGCGUAGAUAUCGGGAGGAACACCAGUGGCGAAGGCGGCCUACUGGGCACCAACUGACGCUGAGGCUCGAAAGUGUGGGUAGCAAACAGGAUUAGAUACCCUGGUAGUCCACACCGUAAACGAUGAUUACUAGGUGUUGGAGGAUUGACCCCUUCAGUGCCGCAGUUAACACAAUAAGUAAUCCACCUGGGGAGUACGACCGCAAGGUUGAAACUCAAAGGAAUUGACGGGGGCCCGCACAAGCAGUGGAGUAUGUGGUUUAAUUCGACGCAACGCGAAGAACCUUACCAAGUCUUGACAUCCUCUGACGAACGUAGAAAUACGUUUUCUCUUCGGAGCAGAGAGACAGGUGGUGCAUGGUUGUCGUCAGCUCGUGUCGUGAGAUGUUGGGUUAAGUCCCGCAACGAGCGCAACCCUUAUGGUCAGUUACUACGCAAGAGGACUCUGGUCAGACUGCCGUUGACAAAACGGAGGAAGGUGGGGAUGACGUCAAAUCAUCAUGCCCUUUAUGACUUGGGCUACACACGUACUACAAUGGCGUUAAACAAAGAGAAGCAAGACCGCGAGGUGGAGCAAAACUCAGAAACAACGUCCCAGUUCGGACUGCAGGCUGCAACUCGCCUGCACGAAGUCGGAAUUGCUAGUAAUCGCAGAUCAGCAUGCUGCGGUGAAUACGUUCCCGGGCCUUGACACACCGCCCGUC